CACGUUGGGCCUUAUUUGAGCGAGGUAUUGAACUAAACCACUUCUGCAUGUCCCUUGAAGUCCAACCAUAUUAUGGGUCUCUACUAGGAAAAAAAAAAAAGAAUCUGUACAGUUGUCCUACAAACCCUACUGAAUUUUCGUAGCAGUGUUUUUUUAAAGAGUGUUUUGUAGAAUCUUGUACCCUCAUGUUCACCUGAAAGACAAACCAAAUCCAAAGUCAUCAGUAUGACAAUACAAUCGAUUUCAAACUUUCCAAAGAGUGGCUGUAAUACCAAGGAGUAAGUGAUUUUUCAGGCAUGCACAUUCUGUGCCAAAGAGUGACCUUUGCAGUAGCAUGAUGGAAUAGAAAAUUUUGAGAUUUGGGAUUCUGUAGAAAAUUCGUGUGUCUUUAUUCAUUAAAUAAAAUCCUACAUUAAAGGUACUGAUAAUCUGACAUCUUUCAUAGUUUAUUGAACAACCCUUUUGGCUGCUUUUGAUGGCUGAUAGAAAGGUUACAUACAACGUGGAUCAAAACAAAAUUAAAUGGAAGAGGUGAGUCAAAUUUUUCCUGGAAAGCUCUUCACACAAAUAAGUUUUUAUGAACUCUGAGACAUCACGGUCAUUCUUCAUGUUUCACCACUUUCACCAUGAACAAAGGGCUUUUAGGAACCGAGAAACCAAAUACUUCUUCCCUUGAAAAGGUGGAUAAAUACAGACACAAGAAAGAACGGAAAAUAGUAAAGAAAAUUCAGGAUCAGUGGGUUGUGACAAAAUUGUAAAACAGAUUGCCAAGCUGCUAACUGCAGUGUGCAAUCUAUUGCUUAAAUCUGUGUUGCUGCCAGACAAAUAGAAAGGGGUAAAUGUCAUGCUGAAUUUUGAAAAGUGCUCCUGGGUGUUGCAAGCCAAAAAGUCUGGUUUUCAAGCAAAUAAAAUUGGAUGAGAAUAUAAUGAAAGAAAAAAUGAACAGAUCCAUGAUUAAAGAUGAUUAAACAAGCAAAAGUCAACACAGUUUUUGUAGAGAGUAGUUCCGCACAUACCGAAGAGCUUUCUCUGGGGCAAUCAACAAGUAGAUGAGCAGACUUUUUUCUUUAGAAAGUCUCCAGACAAGGUGUCUCAUCAAAAGUGCUCUCAUUUAAAAAUAAAUAAAAAUAAAAAUUGCUCAUUAAGAGAAAAGAUGGGACUAAGUGGUUAGUGCUCAGAAAAGAAGAUCAUCUGUACAACACAGGAACGUACCAUGGGAUGCGUGCUCUUCAAUAUAUUCAUAAAUGAUCUAGAAAAGUUGCUGAAUAAGAAGCCAAAAUCAUUCACAAUAGUCAAAACUAAAGCUGAUGACAAGAAAAAUGAAAAAAAAAAUCUUAGUAUGCAAAAUGACUGUAUUACAAAAUGGCAGAGAAAUUUCAGUGUUAUUAACCACAAAACUGCAGAAAAGGGAGCAGGAAACUAACCUGAUUGCUUAUAUACAACAGCUGCUCCAAAAGUAAUGCCUCCUAUUUUAUGAUGUUGGCCGACAGUGUCAGAAGUGAAUGUUGGUGGCAUGGCAGUUGAGGUUGAACCUUCCCACCAAUACUUCAUUACACUUUGUUGCUGUGUGACGGAUGGCAGCAGAGGGACAGUCUGACAAAAUGGCUCCUGACAAAGUGUGGAUGAAGCAAAAGUGUGAAACUGAAUUCUUCCAUGUGGAAAAAAAAUGGCACCUGCUGACAUUCAUCAAUGUUUGCUGAAUGUUUAUGUAGACCAAACAGUGGAUGUGAGCACAGUGAGGUGAUGGGUGGUGCAUUUCGGCAGUGGUGACAGUGAUCUAACAGACAAGCCAUGUUCCGGAUGGUCAUGCAGAUUUUUAUGAGCAGAGCAUGCUGACUCUUGUUCAUCGCUGCUGAAAAUGAAUAGCUAAUGGUGGUGAUUCUGUUGAAAAAAAGUGUUUUGUAGCUGAGAAUUUACUCUGUCAAACAGCAUUAUUGUGUGCUUUGUGGUUUCCAUGGAAAUAAAUAGGAGGCAUUACUUUUAGAGCAAACUACAUAUAACAAUAAGCUAUCAAUGCCCCUGAAAGUAAUCAUGUAACUAUUGACAGUUGUUCUUGGUGAAAACUAAUGCUCAAAGGAAGGCCAAAAAGAAUUAAAUUAGGAAAUUGUGAACAAAACCAAUUACAUUAUUCUACUGAAUAAAUCCACAUUCCACCCCAGACUUCUUGUGAAACCCAGCCACCAUCAUUGGGCUUGCUUUGUUUGCACCGUCUGGGAAUUGGGAGCUGGUCUCUUGCUGGUGAGACCCUUACCUUCUUGGCAGUACUACUGCUCUUGACUCCAGGAUCUCUGUACUUCAGGGAGCAGCCAGCCCUCACUCUUCUCUGACAUGCUGUUAUCUGCCUCCUUUCUACAAAACAAACUUAUGUUAAUCAUCUUGAAGAUUCUAUCUCUGAGGGAAGCUCUGAAAGUAACGCUUCCUAUUUUAUGAUGUUGGCCCAUGAUGUCAGAGGCGAAUAUGGGUGGUAUGGCAGUAGAGGUUGAGCCUUCCCGCCAGUAUUCUGUUACACGUGGUUGCUGUGUGACAGAUGGCAGCAGCGGGGCAGUCUGACGCAGUGGUGUCUGAUUUGGGAGUGUGGAUGAAGCAAAAGCGUGUCAGUGAAUUUCUCCAUGAGGAAAAACUUGCACUCACUGACAUUCAUCAGUACUUGCUGAACAGGGAGGCUGCGGGUAGUGCAUUUCAGCAGUGACUACAGUGACGUAAAAGACAAGCCACGUUCUGGAUCACCAUGCACAGCUGUCACACCAAAAAAUGAAGAGCAAAUCAGUGUGUCCUAAAAGUCCUGGCAUCUGGAGACUGAAAAAGAAAGAAAACAUAAUUAUUACAGUAAUUUCAAAGCACAUCAGGCCUUUCCUUCUAUUCUGGCCAUUUGUAUCAGCUCUUAAUUCCCUAGUCUGUAUCCACCUGUUUAAAUUUAGUACCCA
ensembl:lncRNA